UACGUAGGGUGCGAGCGUUGCCCGGAUUUAUUGGGCGUAAAGGGCGCGUAGGUGGCUCGGCACGUCCGUUGUGAAAUCGCUCGGCUCAACUGGGCGAGGUCAGCGGAUACGGUCGAGCUUGAGCCAGCUAGGGGGCAAUGGAAUUCCCGGUGUAGUGGUGGAAUGCGUAGAUAUCGGGAGGAACACCAGUGGCGAAGGCGGUUGCCUGGGGCUGUGCUGACGCUGAUGCGCGAAAGCGUGGGGAGCGAUCCGG
rnacentral:rRNA from 1 species